rnacentral:siRNA from 1 species
GAGUAGUACUAGGAUAGGUGACC